CGUGCAACAUUUAAAAAUAAUUCAAUAAUAAGCUAAAAAAGUUUCGCCGGAAUAUAUCUAUGUGUGAUCUUGUUUUAAAGAUUUAAUUAUAACGAAUUUAAUGGUGCAAUCGGAUUAUGAUUUGGACAAAUAAUUUAAGAGAAAAAAAUAGUUUAAAGUGGUUUUGCACGUAUGCGUCAUGCUGACGUCAACGUCCGAUUUCCCCCCUCCCUGUCGGGAGCCCGACGCGGAGUCGUCUUCUCCACUUCAUUUAUCAAAUGGAGCUGAUUUUGGAUAGGCAUGGGAUAUGCCGGUCCAAAUUUUAGGUGUUAGGGUGUGCUUUUAGAGCAAUUUUAAUAAUAAUAUUGCCAAUCACUAGUUUUAAAAAUUGAAACAUUAUUUAUAACCAAUCUAAUAGCUCAUUUAUAUAAUAGUUAAUUAUAGAUAUAUACUGCAUCAUUAAUACCUAAUAUAUUAAUGAUUAAUACUGUGUGUAACAAGAACUCUCUUCCUUUUAAUAUAUUGACGUACAAUCUUUUUACGUGCCUUUUAUCUCUCCCUUCACAUAAGCACAAAUAUAAUGUGGUACUUCCUCCGUUCCACAGUAUAAAACCUUCUAACAUUAUCCAAAUUCAUAUAAAUGUUAAUGAAUCUAGACACAUAUAUAAAAUAUAUAUAUUGAUCAAUGGAUGAAUCUAGAUAAGUCCAAAAAGUCUUACGAUAUAAAAUGGAGGGAGUGACUUGGACAAUCUGUUUACGUCAUCUUAUUAUACUCACUCUUAUAUGGAUAAGUAUAUAAAUGUGUAUAUGCGUAAAUAUGUUUAUUGUGUUUCUAAUAAAAUUACUACCACAUUGUUUCGAUUUUGAAGGGGUGGGUAGGAGAGAGGGGAAAAAGUUUCCUCCUAAAAAAACUAGAAAGAGGAGGUUGAGUCGAGGGACCGAUCGAAUAUGUUUAGUUCCACGCUACAAUUAAAAGUUUGACUAAAAUUGAAAAUUUGAAGAAAAAAAUUAUAAGUUUAUGUGUGUAGAAAAUUUUGAUGUGAUAAAAAAGUUAGAAGUUUGAAAAAAAAGUUAAAAAGGGUACCGCAUAGUGCCAGAUAGUACAGUAGCCACCAAAAAGCCCACAUAUCCGACUAGGAGUACGUUUUUACUUGCUUCCCCCAUCGGUCUCCCUCUGGCGCGCCGCUUUGGCUUUUCCGAAAGGAAGCCAGUCAUCCAUCUCCCCCGAUUUAACCCGACGCCGUGCCGCUAGUCUGAUCCGCCACCGCCACGGUCUCCUCCUCGCCCCCGUGCCUCCGCCUCCUCCUCCUCCCGUCCAGCCCGUAUCGACGAGACCAGCAAGGCGCCGCCGCGCGCGGAGCUCUCGACGCCCGCCGACGACCCGCCCGCCGUCAGAUCCGCCUGCUGCAUGCUUCCUCCAGGAUUUCAGUAUGACUGAACAUAUAAAUUAUGAUGUGGUGGAGCAGUGUGUUAAAAACAUCCUCUCUCUAAUCAAACCAGUGGAGGAUGACAGACGCAAACGACUAUCUGCAAUUCAGGAGUUAUCAAAUUCCAUUCCUAAAGUUGCAGCCUUAAGAGGUGCUGUUUUCAAACCUUUUGGAUCCUUUGUAUCAAAUCUUUACUCAAAUUCAGGUGAUUUGGAUAUAUCGGUUCACCUCCCUAAUAACUCAAUCAUAAGCAAGAAGAAAAAGCAAUAUGUCUUGAGGGAAUUAAUGAGAGUGCUACAAAAUAGAGGUGUUGCCGGAUAUGUGCAAUUUGUUCCUUUUGCAAGAGUUCCAGUUCUUCAGUAUGUGAGCAACACCUUCGGAAUUUCCUGCGAUAUAUCUGUGAACAACUACCCUGGUCGAAUUAAAUCCAAAAUCUUCUGCUGGAUCAGUUCUUUAGAUGUGCGUUUUGGUGAUAUGGUUUUACUGAUCAAAGAAUGGGCGAAAGCUCAAAACAUUAAUGAUCCCAAAACUGGGACCUUAAACUCCUAUUCACUUUGCCUACUAGUCCUCUUCCAUUUUCAGGUAAUAUUCAUCUGUGGUAUUUCAAGUUAUACUGAUACAUGAUUUUAGGAAUAUCCUUGUUACUGUCUUUACCUUAUUCCAGACAUGUGAGCCUGCAAUCCUUCCACCUCUUAAGGAGAUUUAUGAAGGGAACAUUGAAGAAGAAAUGACGGUGUAUGAUGAGGAACAUCUUGAUGAGGUUUGCUCUGAAAAUUUAGCAAAAUUUCAAAGCAAGAACAAGGAACGAAGGAAUGAAAGCUCUCUUUGCCAUCUGCUUGCAACCUUUUUCCACAAAUUUUCCUCUAUCGGCACCCUUUCGGGUGAUGUGAUAUCCACUUACACGGGCCAGUUCAAACGAAUAGAGGAGAACCCAAGUUGGAUGGCCAGAUCAUACAGCUUAUUUGUCAAAGAUCCAAUUGAGAGACCUGAUAAUGCCGCUAGAGCGGUUGAUUUGAAAGGCCUUGAGCGGAUUGCUGGGGCCUUCACCGCUGCUAAUCGUAAGUUUGCAUCUCUCCAACACGCCAAACGAAAUGACUUACUGGAGAUGCUGUGUACGCCUGCUGUUGGCUCAAAGCUUGGCAUAAGAGUUAGCCAAGAAGUUAUGGCUAACUCUUGCACAAAUACUCCACGGAGGAACCGUCAUCAUGGUAGACCAACGGAACAAGUCUCAGCGAGGCCAUCUGAUAAUCAAAAUCACCGCGGGGCCAGAGAAUUUACAGUUGGGAGACAAGUUCAUAAUCCCCCACGGGCGCGCCAAUCAACUGGAGCGUACCAUGCUCUUAACAGUCAGCAUGUAAUUCCUGCAUUGAGCCAACCAGCAGGAAUUUAUCAAACAGUUGGCCCAUACCAGAGUAAUGGUCAUCCACAGGUGUAUACUAGAGAUGUCCAAACAGUAGGGCACCAAAAUUAUAGGCAUCCAAUGGGACACAACACACAGCUCCAAACAGUGGAACCAUAUCAGAGUAAUAAUAGUCAACCACAGGUUCAUGCUACCAGCAUCCAAGCACCAAGACAAUACCAGAAUUAUACUCGAUAACGCCCGGCCAGAAACUACAAUCACCAAGUGUUACAUGCUACAGCGACCGAGACAACGGCCAGAAACUACAAUCACCAAUUGUUACAUGCUGCAGCAACCGAGACAACGGCCAGAAACUAUAAUCACCAAUCGUUACAUGCUACAGCAACCGAGACAGAAGGAUCAUACCGGAAUCAGCAGCAGAGACAACACACAUCUGGCCGUCAAACAAAUAGGAACGCUGUGAACACAAGGUACGUGCCUGUUGUUGGAAGGCCACAAAAUGUAGCAUGUGAAUCACGAGCUCAAGACUCCUCAGGCAGGGGAACAUGGCAACAAAGGGAGCCGCGAGCAGGAUCAACCUACCAAAAUAGAUAGCAACGGAUUAUCUUCAGCUUUUGCAUCGCAGUGUGUAUGAGUUUUUGGUAGUUUGUGAUAGCUUUCGUCAGCCAGCAGUUUGAUCUCAGUGCCGCUGCAAUGCAGCGAACUGUAUUGGGUAAAAUGCAGUUACAAGAUUUUCUUUUGUGCAGAUGUUGUCAUGUUGCUACACGCGUGGCUACGAUUGAUUGCGCUGUAGCUGAGAACUGUUUAAAAAAAUGAAGAAAAAACAGUUUAUUUUUAUAUGUA